rnacentral:SRP_RNA from 2 species
GCCGGGCGUGUUGGCACACGCCUGUAGUCCCAGCUACUCGGGAGGCUGAGGCAGGAGAAUUGCUUGAACCCAGGAGGCAGAGGUUUCAGUGAGCUGAGAUCAUGCCACUGCACUCCAGCCUGGGUGACAGAGCAAGACUCUGUCUCAG